rnacentral:rRNA from 1 species
UACGAAGGGGGCUAGCGUUGCUCGGAAUCACUGGGCGUAAAGCGCACGUAGGCGGAUUGUUAAGUCAGGGGUGAAAUCCUGGAGCUCAACUCCAGAACUGCCUUUGAUACUGGCAAUCUCGAGUUCGGGAGAGGUGAGUGGAACUGCGAGUGUAGAGGUGAAAUUCGUAGAUAUUCGCAAGAACACCAGUGGCGAAGGCGGCUCGCUGGCCCGAUACUGACGCUGAGGUGCGAAAGCGUGGGGAGCAAACAGG